rnacentral:rRNA from 1 species
AGUGAACGCUGGCGGUAGGCCUAACACAUGCAAGUCGAACGGCAGCACAGUAAGAGCUUGCUCUUACGGGUGGCGAGUGGCGGACGGGUGAGGAAUACAUCGGAAUCUACUUUUUCGUGGGGGAUAACGUAGGGAAACUUACGCUAAUACCGCAUACGACCUACGGGUGAAAGCAGGGGAUCUUCGGACCUUGCGCGAUUGAAUGAGCCGAUGUCGGAUUAGCUAGUUGGCGGGGUAAAGGCCCACCAAGGCGACGAUCCGUAGCUGGUCUGAGAGGAUGAUCAGCCACACUGGAACUGAGACACGGUCCAGACUCCUACGGGAGGCAGCAGUGGGGAAUAUUGGGCAAUGGGCGAAAGCCUGAUCCAGCCAUACCGCGUGGGUGAAGAAGGCCUUCGGGUUGUAAAGCCCUUUUGUUGGGAAAGAAAAGCAGCAGGUGAAUACCCCGCUGUUCUGACGGUACCCAAAGAAUAAGCACCGGCUAACUUCGUG